UGCCUUGAAGAUCGGAGUGCUUGCACUCUGUGAAACAAGAUACAGGCUAGCGGCGGACGGGUGAGUAACACGUGGGUAACCUGCCCAAGAGAUCGGGAUAACACCUGGAAACAGAUGCUAAUACCGGAUAACAACAGAUGAUGCCUAUCAACUGUUUAAAAGAUGGUUCUGCUAUCACUCUUGGAUGGACCUGCGGUGCAUUAGCUAGUUGGUAGGGUAACGGCCUACCAAGGCGAUGAUGCAUAGCCGAGUUGAGAGACUGAUCGGCCACAUUGGGACUGAGACACGGCCCAAACUCCUACGGGAGGCAGCAGUAGGGAAUCUUCCACAAUGGACGCAAGUCUGAUGGAGCAACGCCGCGUGAGUGAAGAAGGGUUUCGGCUCGUAAAGCUCUGUUGUUGGUGAAGACGACAGGGGUAGUAACUGACCUUUGUUUGACGGUAAU
rnacentral:rRNA from 1 species